CAGUCGCCGCGGUAAUGCGAAGGGUGCAAGCGUUAAUCGGAAUUACUGGGCGUAAAGCGUGCGUAGGCGGUGAGUUAAGUCUGCUGUGAAAUCCCCGGGCUCAACCUGGGAAUGGCAGUGGAUACUGGCUCGCUAGAGUGUGUCAGAGGAUGGUGGAAUUCCCGGUGUAGCGGUGAAAUGCGUAGAGAUCGGGAGGAACAUCAGUGGCGAAGGCGGCCAUCUGGGACAACACUGACGCUGAGGCACGGAAGCGUGGGGAGCAAACAGGAUUAGAUACCCCUGUAGUCCCUGUCUCUUAUAC
rnacentral:rRNA from 1 species